rnacentral:rRNA from 1 species
UAAUACGGAGGGUACAAGCGUUAAUCGGAAUUACUGGGCGUAAAGCGCGCGUAGGCGGUUAAGUAAGUUGGAUGUGAAAGCCCUGGGCUCAACCUAGGAACUGCAUUCAAAACUAUUUAACUAGAGUACGAGAGAGGAGAGUAGAAUUUCUGGUGUAGCGGUGAAAUGCGUAGAUAUCAGAAGGAAUACCAAUGGCGAAGGCAGCUCUCUGGAUCGUCACUGUCGCUAAGGUGCGAAAGCGUGGGUAGCAAACAGGAUUAGAUACCCUGGUAGUCCACGCCGUAAACGAUGAGAACUAGCCGUUGGGGAGAAUUAACUCUUCAGUGGCGCAGCUAACGCAUUAAGUUCUCCGCCUGGGGACUACGGCCGCAAGGCUA